UGGGGAAUAUUGGACAAUGGGGGAAACCCUGAUCCAGCGACGCCGCGUGGGUGAAGAAGGCCUGCGGGUUGUAAAGCCCUUUCGGUAGGGACGAACGUGACGGUACCUGCAGAAGAAGCCCCGGCUAACUACGUGCCAGCAGCCGCGGUAAUACGUAGGGGGCAAGCGUUAUCCGGAUUCAUUGGGCGUAAAGCGCCCGUAGGCGGCUUGUUAAGUCAGAUGUGAAAACCGGGGGCUCAACCCGCGGCCUGCAUCUGAAACUGGCAGGCUUGAGUCUGGUAGAGGAAAGUGGAAUUCCUGGUGUAGCGGUGAAAUGCGCAGAUAUCAGGAGGAACACCAGUGGCGAAGGCGGCUUUCUGGGCCACGACUGACGCUGAGGCGCGAAAGCUAGGGGAGCGAACAGGAUUAGAUACCCUGGUAGUCCUAGCCGUAAACGAUGGGCACUAGGUGUGGGAGGUCAUCGACUCCUCCGUGCCGAAGCUAACGCAUU
rnacentral:rRNA from 1 species